rnacentral:lncRNA from 13 species
GUUGAGGAAGAAGGAUAUCUGUACUCCACUGCUGGUUCAGAUCUCUGUGUACAGUUGUCCACAUCAGCCAGGACUUCAGUGAGCAGGCUGCUGUAGCCUGUACAGUCGUAGAGCGCUGGUGUAUGGCCCCUGUAGUCCAAAAGAUAGACAUCUACAAGGACGGAAUCCAGGGAACCCUUUUUAUACCAGCAGGUCCUGGACCAUUCCCUGCUGAGCUGGAGCUAUCUGGGGGAGGAGGGGGUCUGUUUGAGCAUCGCUCCUCCCUGUUAGCAUCCCAAAGCUACGUCUCCUUAGUGCUGCAGUACCCCACGGACGUCUCUACAACGGUUGCCAUAGGAUGCAAGUACUUUGAGGUCAGGAGGUUAAAGUGUCCAUUACUGAUGGUCAUUGGAGAAGCUGACCAGAACUGUGCCACUGCAGAAUCUGUCCAGGAUGUAAGUACUGUACAUUUAAGUUAUUUAGUAGACAUUUGUCCAGAGCAACAGACAUGAGCAAUUAGGGUUAGUCAGUUUGGGGAUUCAAACUAGCAACCUUUCAGUUAAUGGCCCCACACUUUUAACCCCUAGGCUACCUGCCACUACCUGAUAAUGCAUACAAGUUGGCACACUAAAAGGCCUAUCCCAGAUAUCACCUGACCUCUGACCUCUAUGCACAGAUGCGCAGUACAGUAUGUUGGAGAGGGUAGGGAACCUGUGUCUUACCCUGGGGCUGGUCACCUGAUCAAACCUUUCUACACUCCUCACUUCCGCUCCAGCACCUCCAGGGGCAAAGGUGAGGGAUUUUACAGAGCAUCUCUCAUCUGCUCCGACUUACUGUAAGGCUAGAUCAAGGACACAGUCGAUAGUAUCGCUAGACAUUACAUUACAAGUCUCUGAAAGGGAUUGUUUUUCAUGAGUAUUUUUACCCUACUGUAAAACUGUAAUGUGCUGUUGCAGUGAUAAUGUUGUGGAGAGAGCAGCCCAAAUGGAGGAGGCUCCUGGAGUUCCUUCAGAAGAACCUGUACCAAAGACAGGACCCCUCUGUCCUCUCAGAGCUGUGAGAUCCUCCUGGACUAUCUCCAUUAUAGUCGUUGCUUCUCCAGCUUCAUUAUCUGUCAGGGCCCUAUUCUUGAAAUUAAGUAGAGACAAUAUUGGUUGGAUUUGUUUUUAAUCACCAGGUGGCAGCAUUGCACAGUCUCUUAAAUGACUGGUCUGCUGCUUGUAGUUGUCAUAGUAGUCAAUGUCCUGACAAUUACAAGGAGGAAGCAGAGGAGAUGGUCGACAUCGGCCUUUCAUCAAAGUCCUUAUAGGGAUCCCUUUCUGUUUAAAGACCAUGGAUCAGACCUUGGGUUGAGUUGCGGUCUUCUAGCCAACCUGGUUGGAAUUCCAAACUCCUGUGAGGUAACAUGAAGUGUUAUUGAUAUCAGCUGAGUUGAAGAGAAUGAACACCGCUGCCUUUUAACUCUGAUCAACUGCAUACUUUUUUAUUUUUUAGAUGUCACCCAUAUAUUCUCACUCCAGAUUCCAUUCUGGCAAAGAGGACCGAUGGCCUAAACAUCUCCAUGUGUUGCACAUAUAUUAAACCAAUAGCCUGGUCUGGAUCUGCUUGUGCUGUGUUGCUCCUAUGGUCAUUAUCAUCCCAAACAAUCAUGCACAAACAGAUCUGGGACUACGUAGGCUACUAAACCAAUGCCUUGUCUAGUGAUGAAGGAUAAGUUCCCAAUCUGGCAACCUGCCAUGCCAUUAAACUAAGGCCUUGUCUAGUGAUGAAGGAAAAAUACCCAAUCUGGCAACCCGCCGUGCUGUUAAACCUUUACAGACUCAGCAGCCUUGUGGUGUGACUUGGCAUCCCCCCCCC